GAUGAACUCUGGCGGCGUGCCUAAUACAUGCAAGUCGAGCGAACAGACGAGGAGCUUGCUCCUCUGACGUUAGCGGCGGACGGGAGAGUAACACGUGGAUAACCUACCUAUAAGACUGGGAUAACUUCGGGAAACCGGAGCUAAUACCGGAUAAUAUAUUGAACCGCAUGGUUCAAUAGUGAAAGACGGUUUUGCUGUCACUUAUAGAUGGAUCCGCGCCGCAUUAGCUAGUUGGUAAGGUAACGGCUUACCAAGGCAACGAUGCGUAGCCGACCUGAGAGGGUGAUCGGCCACACUGGACCUGAGACACGGUCAGACUCCUACGGGAGGCAGCAGUAGGGAAUCUUCCGCAAUGGGCGAAAGCUUGACGGAGCAACGCCGCGUGAGUGAUGAAGGUCUUCGGAUCGUAAAACUCUGUUAUUAGGGAAGAACAAAUGUGUAAGUAACUAUGCACGUCUUGACGGUACCUAAUCAGAAAGCCACGGCUAACUACGUG
rnacentral:rRNA from 1 species